ensembl:lncRNA
GAUGAGGAUGAGCCUUGCUGGGAGAAGACGCAGUGGUCCACCUCGACCCCCGGAGCAGUUUUCAGGUCUCAGUGCUGCCAGAGGUGUCCGCCAGCUCUCCCUUUGGAUUGGAAAAUGCACGGAACCCUGCUUGCUGGGGUCAUGGAAGUGCUUUGGCAGAGUUCUCAAGGGCCAGAGAGGAGAAGACUGCUUACCGAGCCUCUCAUAGAGCAGCAGCUGAGAAAAUGGAGAAAAGACGCUCGGGGCCUUGUUGGAGCUCCCAGCAAAUCAGCGGCAGAUCCAAGAUUGCCCCAGACUCCUGGCCAGCACUCGAAAAACCAGCACAAGACCUUCCUCAGCCUGAAGGACGGAAAUGCCGAGCCAGAGACCAGCCUCUGCCGCCAAGCACCAUGGCCACAUGGGAACCGCCUUGAAGAGCACGGCUCUCAGCUGACCCAGCCCAGCCUAGGGAAGAAGCUGUCUCUCCACAAGGUCACCGAGGCUUCCAGGCAGGAAGCCCACGCCAGCUGCCUCCCAGUCACCAUCUGCAUUCAGCAAGCGUUGGUGGUGCCGCCAGCUGUUCUUUUCUGGCCCGUUUACCUCUCCAGGGUUUUCUCUACACAGACCUCCUUAGACGCACAUAGAUCUGAGCAUGGAGCAUCCUCCCAAAUCAUCUCAUUGAGCUUUCGUACGCCUUGGCACUCACUCUUCUCCCUUGCCUCCAUGGCAGACAUCACUGAUUAAUCACAGCUCUUCUUUACCUUUUAAGCCUGGACUGAAUCUCUGAAC